GAUGAACGCUGGCGGCGUGCCUAAUACAUGCAAGUCGAGCGAAUGGAUUAAGAGCUUGCUCUUAUGAAGUUAGCGGCGGACGGGUGAGUAACACGUGGGUAACCUGCCCAUAAGACUGGGAUAACUCCGGGAAACCGGGGCUAAUACCGGAUAACAUUUUGAACCGCAUGGUUCGCAAUAGAAAGGCGGCUUCGGCUGUCACUUAUGGAUGGUCCAGGGUCGCAUUAGCUAGUUGGUGAGGUAAAGGCUCACCAAGGCAACGAUGCGUAGCCGACCUGAGAGGAUGAUCGGCCACACUGGGACUGAGACACGGCCCAGACUCCUACGGGAGGCAGCAGUAGGGAAUCUUCCGCAAUGGACGAAAGUCUGACGGAGCAACGCCGCGUGAGUGAUGAAGGCUUUCGGGUCGUAAAACUCUGUUGUUAGGGAAGAACAAGUGCUAGUUGAAUAAGCUGGCACCUUGACGGUACCUAACCAGAAAGCCACGGCUAACUACGUGCCAGCCGCCGCCGUAA
rnacentral:rRNA from 1 species